rnacentral:rRNA from 1 species
GACGAACGCUGGCGGCGUGCUUAACACAUGCAAGUCGAACGGAAAGGCCCUGCUUUUGUGGGGUGCUCGAGUGGCGAACGGGUGAGUAACACGUGAGUAACCUGCCCUUGACUUUGGGAUAACUUCAGGAAACUGGGGCUAAUACCGGAUAGGAGCUCCUGCUGCAUGGGGGGGGUUGGAAAGUUUCGGCGGUUGGGGAUGGACUCGCGGCUUAUCAGCUUGUUGGUGGGGUAGUGGCUUACCAAGGCUUUGACGGGUAGCCGGCCUGAGAGGGUGACCGGCCACAUUGGGACUGAGAUACGGCCCAGACUCCUACGGGAGGCAGGAGUGGGGAAUAUUGCACAAUGGGCGGAAGCCUGAUGCAGCAACGCCGCGUGCGGGAUGACGGCCUUCGGGUUGUAAACCGCUUUCGCCUGUGACGAAGCGUGAGUGACGGUAAUGGGUAAAGAAGCACCGGCUAACUACGUG